rnacentral:rRNA from 1 species
UGAAUGGACUAGGGGCCUUACCGGGUUACCGAACCCCAUCAAACUCCGAAUACCGAGGCGUACAUCGUAGCAGUCAGACAGUGGGGGAUAAGCUCCAUUGUCAAAAGGGAAACAGCCCAGAUCAACAGCUAAGGUCCCUAAUUGAUGCUCAGUGGUAAAGGAAGUCAUUUCGCAUAGACAACUAGGAGGUUGGCUUAGAAGCAGCCACCCUUGAAAGAGUGCGUAAUAGCUCACUAGUCGAGUGAAGUGGCGCCGAAAAUGUAACGGGGCUCAAGCAUCAAACCGAAGCUUUGGGAUUAGGAAACUAAUCGGUAGGGGAGCGUUGUAGCGUAGGCUGAAGGUCGACCGUGAGGACGGCUGGACGAACUACAAGUGCGAAUGCAGGUAUAAGUAGCGACAAAAGAGUGUGAGAACCACUCUCGCCGGAAGUCUAAGGUUUCCUGAGCUACGUCAAUCGUCUCAGGGUGAGUCGGGUCCUAAGCCGAGGCUGAGAAGCGUAGGCGAUGGCCAAGCCGUUCAUAUUCGGCUACCACCGACGUCUGUUUAGACUUCACCGAACACUGUCGUAUUGUUUGGCCGCGAUCGUUAGUCUUCGAUUCGUUCAGGAUCGAAGUCCUAAGAUCGUGGUUUUUUGCAGUACGCCGGCGUUCGCUGAAGUCUAUGAAGCGAAGGGAUGACGCAGGAAGAUAUGUCAGCGCACCGAUGGAUGUGUGCGUCUAAGCUGGUAGGGGGUCACAUAGGCAAAUCCGUGUGGCUAACUCCGAGAAGCGAAUGCGAUGGUCCUUGUGACCAGAAGUGACUGACUCUACGCUGCCAAGAAAAGUCUCUAGUUAAGACAUAGGUGCCCGUACCGUACACCGACACAGGUAGACUGGCAGAGCAUGCUAAGGCGACGGGAGAAUCCCUGUUAAGGAACUCGGCAAAUUAACCCCGUAACUUAGGGAUAAGGGGUGCCCCUUUUCGUGUAGUCUUUACGACGAUAGCGGAGGGGGGUCGCAGCAAAUAGGCCCAAGCGACUGUUUAACAAAAACACAGGUCUCUGCGAACGCGAAAGCGGACGUAUAGGGGCUGACUCCUGCCCGGUGCUGGAAGGUUAAAAGGAGAGGUUAGCGCAAGCGAAGCUUUGAUUUGAAGCCCCAGUAAACGGCGGCGGUAACUAUAACCGUCCUAAGGUAGCGAAAUUCCUUGUCGGGUAAGUUCCGACCUGCACGAAUGGAGUAACGACUUGGGCACUGUCUCGAUGGGGAACCCGGCGAAAUUGCAGUACCAGUGAAGAUGCUGGUUACCCGCGGCAGGACGGAAAGACCCCAUGAAGCUUUACUGUAUCCUGAUGUUGGGUUCUGAGAUUUUCUGUACAGGAUAGGUGGGAGGCGACGAUCCGUGGACGCUAGUUUACGGGGAGCCAACCUUGGGAUACCACCCUGAAAAUCUCGGGAUUCUAACUGACCGCCAUUAUCUGGUGGCAGGACAUCGUCAGGUGGGCAGUUUGACUGGGGCGGUCGCCUCCUAAAGAGUAACGGAGGCGCCCAAAGGUUCCCUCAGAUCGGUCAGAAACCGAUCGUUAGAGUGCAUAGGCAAAAGGGAGCUUGACUGCGAGACGGACAGGUCGAGCAGGUGCGAAAGCAGGGCUAAGUGAUCCGGCGGUACCGAAUGGAAGGGCCGUCGCUUAUCGGAUAAAAGCUACUCCGGGGAUAACAGGCUUAUCUCCCCCAAGAGUCCACAUCGACGGGGAGGUU